GAACUGCCUCCAAAACUAUCAGUCUAGAGUUCGAGAGAGGUGAGUGGAAUUCCGAGUGUAGAGGUGAAAUUCGUAGAUAUUCGGAAGAACACCAGUGGCGAAGGCGGCUCACUGGCUCGAUACUGACGCUGAGGUGCGAAAGUGUGGGUAGCAAACAGGAUUAGAUACCCUGGUAGUCCACACCGUAAACGAUGAAUGCCAGUCGUCAGGGGGCUUGCCCCUUGGUGACACACCUAACGGAGUAAGCAUUCCGCCUGGGGAGUACGGCCGCAAGGUUAAAACUCAAAGGAAUUGACGGGGGCCCGCACAAGCGGUGGAGCAUGUGGUUUAAUUCGAUGCAACGCGAGGAACCUUACCAGGUCUUGACAUCCUGCGAACACGUUAGAGAUA
rnacentral:rRNA from 1 species